GUUUCUUGUAGCUUCCGGUUCUUACUUCAUCAAUGACUGUUGGUUCAAGGUCGACAAAUACAGCUCUUGGGACAUAUUUCCCGGAGAUCCCUUCCCUGAAGAAGGUGCCAAAGGAAUUGCUCUCUUCGCUUGAUGAGGAUCUUAUCACAGGCGCUGAGUUACAAGGCUGCGAUAGUACUCACUUUGAUCUCUAUCUAAUCCCUCCUUCAUCACCAUGGUCCGACUCUGGCUCUGAUCUUCUUUCCACAUCAUAUGAUAUGUGGCAUCAUUGAACAUUUGUCUCUUGUUGUAGUCGUAGCUCCUUUUUAUGUCAUGUUUUCCAAUUAGGAAAACAUUGUCAUUUACCAUUUAAUUUAUCUUCUACUAGAACGUCUCGUGUGUUUGAACUAAUUAACUCAGACCUAUAUUAUAUUUUAUUUUUGGACAUUCUCUCUCA